rnacentral:rRNA from 1 species
AACGAACGCUGGCGGCAUGCCUAACACAUGCCAGUCGAACGAGACCUUCGGGUCUAGUGGCGCACGGGUGCGUAACGCGUGGGAACCUGCCCUUAGGUUCGGAAUAACUCCCCGAAAGGGGUGCUAAUACCGGAUAAUGUCUUCGGACCAAAGAUUUAUCGCCUUUGGAUGGGCCCGCGUUGGAUUAGCUAGUUGGUAGGGUAAAAGCCUACCAAGGCGACGAUCCAUAGCUGGUCUGAGAGGAUGAUCAGCCACACUGGGACUGAGACACGGCCCAGACUCCUACGGGAGGCAGCAGUGGGGAAUAUUGGACAAUGGGCGAAAGCCUGAUCCGGCAAUGCCGCGUGAGUGAUGAAGGCCUUAGGGUUGUAAAGCUCUUUUACCCGGGAUGAUAAUGACAGUACCGGGAGAAUAAGCUCCGGCUAACUCCGUG